AUUGAACGCUGGCGGCAUGCUUUACACAUGCAAGUCGAACGGUAACAGGCCGCAAGGUGCUGACGAGUGGCGAACGGGUGAGUAAUGCAUCGGAACGUGCCCAGUCGUGGGGGAUAACGCAGCGAAAGUUGCGCUAAUACCGCAUACGAUCUAUGGAUGAAAGCGGGGGACCGUAAGGCCUCGCGCGAUUGGAGCGGCCGAUGUCAGAUUAGGUAGUUGGUGGGGUAAAGGCUCACCAAGCCGACGAUCUGUAGCUGGUCUGAGAGGACGACCAGCCACACUGGGACUGAGACACGGCACAGACUCCUACGGGAGGCAGCAGUGGGGAAUUUUGGACAAUGGGCGCAAGCCUGAUCCAGCAAUGCCGCGUGCAGGAAGAAGGCCUUCGGGUUGUAAACUGCUUUUGUACGGAACGAAACGGUCCUGGUUAAUACCCGGGGCUAAUGACGGUACCGUAAGAAUAAGCACCGGCUAACUACGUGCCAGCCGCCGCGGUAACAC
rnacentral:rRNA from 1 species